GCCCCAAACCCCACCCUAGCAGCAGACGACUCGAAGACCACGUCCUCCUUCCCGCUCGGCCCUAGCUGAGUUUUUCCGCGGCGAAGCAGGAAGUGCACUGCUCCCGCUUCACUUCCCAGCUCAGAAACCGGUCGGGAAUAUUCUAAGCACACGUCCCCCCAACUGUGUUCCCCAGGUGAACUGCAUGUUCUCAGUCUAUGAUCCUGUAAUAAUCUGUUCCUGUCCUGUGAGAGUGAUGAUGACUACACAGUGGGUCAAGCACACUGAGUUGUUUUGUUGAGUUUGUUCUGGUUUUUGGUUUGCUUUGGUUUUGUAGCAGAGGCAAUAGGUGCUUUCCACCCGGAAAACUCUGCUCCCAAGAUCCCCUAUCAGGAUUAACUGCAUGGUGCCAGAUUGUUGGUGCAAAUUCUAAUUCAUCUGAGCUACAUGAGAAGAGUUCAAAGAUGGAGCUAACAUUCUAAUAUAAGUAAAAUGAAGUUUUCUCAUUGUG
rnacentral:lncRNA from 1 species